rnacentral:lncRNA from 1 species
CCUAAAUCUUCCAAACACCACUAUGGCCUCUGCUUCAAUGCUCAAGAACUCAAUGUCCAAAGUCAUGUACUCUGUGUGACCAUGUGCAUGGCUUUCUGGAAAAGACAAACCCUCCUUCUGGAGACCAGGAGACAGAGGCUAAAACAAGUAGAAAAUGGAUUACAGGAGCCUCAGCAACAUGUCUCUGGAGUCAGCACCAUCUCCUGGAAAUGCUCCACCAGAGUUUAUGAGACCUGUGUAAACACACCAGGAUGAUGUUCCUGGUGACCUUUAAACUGUUUGCCUUUCAGGAAGAUUCUGAGCAGACUGACUGUCCUGGCAGAUCCUUGGGAUUCCAGACUUAAACUGAAGGAAAGGAAAGGAAAGGAAAGGAAAGGAAAGGAAAGGAAAGGAAAGGAAAGGAAAGGAAAGGAAAGGAAAGGAAAAGAAAAGAAAGGAAUCUGAACCAGAUCCCACCUGCGUUGAAGUGUCACAAGUGGCACUGCGGAAGAUCUGGGCAUAAUAUCCCCUCUCCUCCACCUGGUGUUGCUGGGCCUUGGGGGUUGUGCCCAGUGCUUACCCUGUCCCAACAACUUUCCUGGGCAGGAACUGCUAUUAUUACUGUACGGAGGGUAAAAUCUGGAGUUCCAUACCCUAUGAGGAUGCAAAUUUCUCACAUGUAAAGUGCUGUGUGCCUGGCAGGCUGUGAUAGAUUUAGCCAAGAAAAACAACACAGUGGGUGCUCUUGACAUGGGUAAUGGAUGUAUGAAGAGCCCAACCCAGGCUCCACAAGCCCAAUAUGCCAGGUUCCUUUCAUGUCUCCAGGCAGGCUCCUCUAAUACCUUCUGUUCUAGAGUCUUUCCUGGACAUAGCUCCCUCCUCCAGCUCUGCCAGGGAGUCCCUUCCUGUGACAUCCUUAGAGCCUGAAAAAAUAAGGGACUCUUCUUAGGGUUCUUUUUCUGUCACUCAUUUUGAUGACCAUGCAGAGGUGACAGAAAUAGCCAGUAUGAUGAAUCAGACAAGCGUAUAUAUCAUAUAUCAGUGGUCAGGAAUGUUGGGCUCUCAUUUCUAGAUCCUUCAGCUGGUUUCUUUUUUUUUUUUCAGGAUAUGAAAAAAAACCUACAUAGGUAGAUUUGGUACAUGAAAAGUGAGUAUCCCACCUCCUUGUGGCCUGGCCUUCAAGGAAGUGCAAUUCCAAUGGGUUCUUGCUCUGCCUUUGUAGUGAGCAUUCAGGUUGGGGACACCUUUAGAUAAGAUGACCUCUGUCCACUCAUAUUUGGGCAACCCUGCAUGUUUAUGAAGCUAGAUGUUAGUGGAAAGAAGGAUAAAUAAUAAGGAAAAAAAGGAAGGAGAGAGGAAAGGAAAAAAGGAAGGAAGGAAGGAGAAAAGACAAAGA